rnacentral:rRNA from 1 species
GAUGAACGCUGGCGGCGUGCCUAAUACAUGCAAGUCGAGCGAACGGACGCGAAGCUUGCUUCUCUGAUGUUAGCGGCGGACGGGUGAGUAACACGUGGAUAACCUACCUAUAAGACUGGGAUAACUUCGGGAAACCGUAGCUAAUACCGGAUAAUAUUUUGAACCGCAUGGUUCAAAAGUGAAAGACGGUCUUGCUGUCACUUAUAGAUGGAUCCGCGCUGCAUUAGCUAGUUGGUAAGGUAACGGCUUACCAAGGCAACGAUGCAUAGCCGACCUGAGAGGGUGAUCGGCCACACUGGAACUGAGACACCGUCCAGACUCCUACGGGAGGCAGCAGUAGGCAAUCUUCCGCAAUGGGCGAAAGCCUGACGGAGCGACGCCGCGCGAGUUAUGAAGGUCUUCGGAUCGUAAAACUCUGUUAUUAGUGAAGAACAUAUGUGUAAGUAACUGUGCACAUCGUGACGGUACCUAAUCAGAAAGCCACGGCUAACUACGUG